rnacentral:rRNA from 1 species
UACGGGGGGGGCGAGCGUUAUUCGGAAUUAUUGGGCGUAAAGGGCGCGUAGGCGGCUUGGUAAGUCAAAGGUGAAAUCCCUCGGCUCAACUGAGGAAUUGCCUUUGAAACUGCCUGGCUUGAGGCCGGGAGGGGGUAGCGGAAUUCCCAGUGUAGCGGUGAAAUGCGUAGAUACUGGGAGGAACACCGGUGGCGAAGGCGGCUACCGGGACCGGUACUGACGCUGAGGCGCGAAAGCGUGGGGAGCAAACAGG